GGAGGGGACGGCUCAGUGGUAGAGCACGUGCUUAGCAUGUGCGAGGUCCUGGGUUCAGUCCCUAGUCCCUCCA
rfam:Camelus ferus unplaced genomic scaffold scaffold692, whole genome shotgun sequence.